rnacentral:rRNA from 1 species
UACGAAGGGUGCAAGCGUUACUCGGAAUUACUGGGCGUAAAGCGUGCGCAGGCGGCCCGUUAAGACAGGUGUGAAAUCCCUGGGCUCAACCUAGGAAUUGCGCUUGUGACUGGCGGGCUCGAGUACGGUAGAGGGGGGUGGAAUUCCUGGUGUAGCAGUGAAAUGCGUAGAGAUCAGGAGGAACACCGAUGGCGAAGGCAGCCCCCUGGGCCUGUACUGACGCUCAUGCACGAAAGCGUGGGGAGCAAACAGG